GACGAACGCUGGCGGCGUGCUUAACACAUGCAAGUCGAACGGAAAGGCCCUGCUUUUGUGGGGUGCUCGAGGGGCGAACGGGUGAGUAACACGUGAGUAACCUGCCCUUGACUUUGGGAUAACUUCAGGCAACUGGGGCUAAUACCGGAUAGGAGCUCCUGCUGCAGGGUGGGGGCUGGAAAGUUUCGGCGGUUGGGGAUGGACUCGCGGCUUAUCCGCUUGUUGGUUGGGUAGUGGCUUACCAAGGCUUGGACAGGUAGCCGGCCUGGUCGGGGGACCGGCCACGUUGGGACUGAGAUGCGGCCCGGACUCCAACGGGAGGCAGCAGAGCGGAAGAUUGCACAAUGGGCGGAAGCCUGAUGCAGCAACGCCGCGUGCGGGAUGACGGCCUUCGGUUUGUAAUCCGCUUUCGCCUGUGACGAAGCGUGAGUGACGGUAAUGGGUAAAGAAGCACCGGCUAACUACGUG
rnacentral:rRNA from 1 species